CCUUCUCAAUUGGAGGUCUAAACCUUCCGUUCUGCCUUCUAAAUCCAAUUCUACCAAUUAUGAGUUCCUGUUUGGGGUGAAAAGUUUUGGAAUAAAUGGUAAUGAUGGUUUCACAGUGUUAUGAAGCCCAGCAAAGACAGAGAGAAGAUAUUCCUGAUCUGACUCAUAGGGGACCUCAUAGAAUUCUGCCAACUAACUCAAGUGGUGGUCACAGGUUGGCAGCAUCUUCCGACUGAGAUGUGCAAUCUAAUCUAGAGUGGGAAGGAUUCCUUUAAACAGAAUUGAAGAAGGAAGAACCUAUACUAGAAGUGAAUAAUAAUAGCCCAAGCAGAGUGCUAAGGGGAGAGUGCUGGAACCUAUAAGAAAGUUAAUUGGAAGGAUCUAUGAUACACACAGAAAGAAAGUAAGAAGAAGCUGGCAAAGAUCAAACCCUGAGAGACUUCGUAUUCUGUGGAAAAGACAGAUUCUUCAGUGAUAUUCCAGAAGAAGGCAUUGUUAUUAUACAAGAAGAAAGCUCCACAAAUGUGAUUACCCCUGAAGAUCUUCUUGUGGGACAAGAUGUGAAGAGGGAAGGCAGUUAUAUUGAAUAUCUUGAACCUGUGUAGGCCUAAACUACUAUGUGUGCUUGUGCCUUGUUUCUAAUAAUAAAAGUUAAAAAGUUUAAAAAAAUAAAAAUUAAAAAUAGCAAACAAAUCUUAUAGAAUAAGGGUAUAAGUAAAGAUAUUUUUGUGCAACUGUACAAUGUGUUUGUGUUUUCAGCUAAGUGUUAUUACAAAAG
rnacentral:lncRNA from 1 species